GAACGCUAGCUACAGGCUUAACACAUGCAAGUCGAGGGGCAUCAGGACGAAAGCUUGCUUUCUUUGCUGGCGACCGGCGCACGGGUGAGUAACACGUAUCCAACCUGCCCUUUACUCGGGGAUAGCCUUUCGAAAGAAAGAUUAAUACCCGAUGGCAUAAUGAUUCCGCAUGGUUUCAUUAUUAAAGGAUUCCGGUAAAGGAUGGGGAUGCGUUCCAUUAGGUUGUUGGUGAGGUAACGGCUCACCAAGCCUUCGAUGGAUAGGGGUUCUGAGAGGAAGGUCCCCCACAUUGGAACUGAGACACGGUCCAAACUCCUACGGGAGGCAGCAGUGAGGAAUAUUGGUCAAUGGGCGCUAGCCUGAACCAGCCAAGUAGCGUGAAGGAUGAAGGCUCUAUGGGUCGUAAACUUCUUUUAUAUAAGAAUAAAGUGCAGUAUGUAUACUGUUUUGUAUGUAUUAUAUGAAUAAGGAUCGGCUAACUCCGUGCCAGCAGCCGCGGUAAUACGGAGGAUCCGAGCGUUAUCCGGAUUUAUUGGGUUUAAAGGGAGCGUAGGUGGACUGGUAAGUCAGUUGUGAAAGUUUGCGGCUCAACCGUAAAAUUGCAGUUGAUACUGUCAGUCUUGAGUACAGUAGAGGUGGGCGGAAUUCGUGGUGUAGCGGUGAAAUGCUUAGAUAUCACGAAGAACUCCGAUUGCGAAGGCAGCUCACUGGACUGCAACUGACACUGAUGCUCGAAAGUGUGGGUAUCAAACAGGAUUAGAUACCCUGGUAGUCCACACAGUAAACGAUGAAUACUCGCUGUUUGCGAUAUACAGUAAGCGGCCAAGCGAAAGCAUUAAGUAUUCCACCUGGGGAGUACGCCGGCAACGGUGAAACUCAAAGGAAUUGACGGGGGCCCGCACAAGCGGAGGAACAUGUGGUUUAAUUCGAUGAUACGCGAGGAACCUUACCCGGGCUUAAAUUGCAGUGGAAUGAUGUGGAAACAUGUCAGUGAGCAAUCACCGCUGUGAAGGUGCUGCAUGGUUGUCGUCAGCUCGUGCCGUGAGGUGUCGGCUUAAGUGCCAUAACGAGCGCAACCCUUAUCUUUAGUUACUAACAGGUUAUGCUGAGGACUCUAGAGAGACUGCCGUCGUAAGAUGUGAGGAAGGUGGGGAUGACGUCAAAUCAGCACGGCCCUUACGUCCGGGGCUACACACGUGUUACAAUGGGGGGUACAGAAGGCAGCUAGCGGGUGACCGUAUGCUAAUCCCAAAAGCCUCUCUCAGUUCGGAUCGAAGUCUGCAACCCGACUUCGUGAAGCUGGAUUCGCUAGUAAUCGCGCAUCAGCCACGGCGCGGUGAAUACGUUCCCGGGCCUUGUACACACCGCCCGUCAAGCCAUGGGAGCCGGGGGUACCUGAAGUACGUAACCGCAAGGAUCGUCCUAGGGUAAAACUGGUGACUGGGGCUAAG
rnacentral:rRNA from 1 species